GCAAGGAAUUUUGUACAAUGGGCGAAAGCCUGAUACAGCGACGCCGCGUGGGGGAUGAAGGCCUUCGGGUUGUAAACCCCUUUUCCCAGGGAUGAAUAAUGACAGUACCUGGGGAAUAAGUCACGGCUAACUACGUGCCAGCAGCCGCGGUAAUACGUAGGUGGCGAGCGUUAUCCGGAUUUACUGGGCGUAAAGUGAGCGCAGACGGUUCUUCAAGUCAGUUGUUAAAUCUCUCGGCCUAACCGGGUGAGCGCAUCUGAUACUGUUGAACUAGAGGACAACAGAGGGAAGUGGAACUCCCGGUGUAGUGGUGGAAUGCGUAGAUAUCGGGAAGAACACCAGUGGCGAAGGCGGCUUCCUAGGUUGUUUCUGACGUUCAUGCUCGAAGGUGUGGGGAGCGAACAGGAUUAGAAACCCCGGUAGUCC
rnacentral:rRNA from 1 species